rnacentral:rRNA from 1 species
CGCACAGCGAAGGUGCUUGCACCUUUCAAGUGAGUGGCGAACGGGUGAGUAACACGUGGACAACCUGCCUCAAGGCUGGGGAUAACAUUUGGAAACAGAUGCUAAUACCGAAUAAAACUUAGUGUCGCAUGACACAAAGUUAAAAGGCGCUUCGGCGUCACCUAGAGAUGGAUCCGCGGUGCAUUAGUUAGUUGGUGGGGUAAAGGCCUACCAAGACAAUGAUGCAUAGCCGAGUUGAGAGACUGAUCGGCCACAUUGGGACUGAGACACGGCCCAAACUCCUACGGGAGGCUGCAGUAGGGAAUCUUCCACAAUGGGCGAAAGCCUGAUGGAGCAACGCCGCGUGUGUGAUGAAGGCUUUCGGGUCGUAAAGCACUGUUGUAUGGGAAGAACAGCUAGAAUAGGAAAUGAUUUUAGUUUGACGGUACCAUACCAGAAAGGGACGGCUAAAUACGUGCCAGCAGCCGCGGUAAUACGUAUGUCCCGAGCGUUAUCCGGAUUUAUUGGGCGUAAAGCGAGCGCAGACGGUUUAUUAAGUCUGAUGUGAAAGCCCGGAGCUCAACUCCGGAAUGGCAUUGGAAACUGGUUAACUUGAGUGCAGUAGAGGUAAGUGGAACUCCAUGUGUAGCGGUGGAAUGCGUAGAUAUAUGGAAGAACACCAGUGGCGAAGGCGGCUUACUGGACUGCAACUGACGUUGAGGCUCGAAAGUGUGGGUAGCAAACAGGAUUAGAUACCCUGGUAGUCCACACCGUAA